CACGCCCACAAUCCCGGCGGCGAUGGCCACGCCCCGGAUGACGCCGUGUGCUCUCUCUGCUGCGGGGGGGAAGAGAACACAGGAGGGAUGUCAAGAGUUUCGAGGCGGGUUGUCUUACUGACGGUCACGACGUGGUAUGAGAGACGCUUACCUGCAGAAGUUAACGCGACAAGGUUGCCUACAUGGGAUAUUUAUGCUGUCCUCCUUUCCGGUGAAUGGGCGUGAAAGGGGACACUGGAAACAAAGCAAAUGGUUAUGAAAAAACAAGGGGAAGCCGAGAGUGCAACAUGAGCAGAUUAAGCCACCAUUGAUGUACUGUAUGUCUAGUAUCAUGUUUCAUGUCUGGGACACCUAUUGUUUUUUUUUAGUUUUUUUUUUACCUCUGGUAUUUACACACACACACACACACACACACACAUCAUGUUUAUAUGUAAUACAGCCUUAAUUUCACCAUUUUGUAUAUCUUUUAAGAUUUUAAAGAUACUCAUUCAAAUUAUGUGGAUUUACAUCUUUGUGCUUUCAUAAUAUAUUCAAUUUAUCACACACACAUACACACACACACAUCGCGUUAAGGCUCAAAAGACACAAUUUCACAUUUUGAUACAUUUCUGCGAUCAAGGGGUUUCCAUGGUGAUAUUGAACACGUAGACAUUUGCUUCUCAUAACCCGUCACCAGCGCCAGAAGGUGAUUCUCUGGCUGCCUCCUUGUGCUUGUGCACAUUGGCAUUUGCAGAGGCCAACCUAUCCAUCUUUGAAUCUCCUUUGAAUGUGCACAGCCCAUUUCCCAAAUUACCCAGAGAAACAACUUGCUAGUAGAAAUAUGGAUUACAAACCUUUGCAGAAGCAACCAGGCACCAACGCACACACAAUUCUGACAACCAGGCACCAACGCACACGCAAUUCUGACAACCAGGCACCAACGUACACACAAUUCUGACAACUGACAUUUGUUAUUAAAAAAUAGCUGCUCAUUGACUAGCACAAUAGUGAAAUGAUUUUGUUCUCUUGUCUGACCAUUUCAAGGCAAAGAACUUGUGGAAUAUUGUCAUUCUGAUAUAGUCAUAUUUUUACAGGGCCCUUGGAUUUAAGCUCCAUGAGAACAAAGAAAUGUAUACCUCCCUCUCUUGGUCUAUGUAAAUGGAAACACCUAUUCAGGCUACAAUAAAAUUGUACUUUCAAGUGUAAGUAUUGUAACACUAUAACGUGAAAUUUAUUUCAUUGUAAACUCAGGAGACUAGCCCACUGCAGUCAGUUCUCUACUCUCUAUCAAAUUACGAUAUUGAUUGCUUUGGAUUUUGUUUUCUUUUCACAUAGGUUGUAUUGUGUAUUGCUGAUUGUCAAUGUAUUCUCUAAUUUCUUAUUUUUCAAAAUUACCCUGGAUAAAUAUGCCCAAAUACUGUGUAUGUGUGUGGGUGUGCACGUGUGUGUGCUUGUAUGUAUGUAUGAAAAUGUUGCUUGUAAAUUUCCCAGAUUCUGUCAAUGAUUAAUCUACGUCCAAAUAUUCUUAAAUGAGCAAAACCAUUUUAAAAAUGUACAUUGUUUAUCUGAGUAGUGUUGGAAUAAUUUUCGCUGACAUUUUUUUUUUUGUGUUUGUUUAAUAUCGCUAAUGUGUUUAUUUUUACACAGUUUCACUCAAAACACCUUACCUUUCAUACACUGUCAGAAAAGGGGUAUGUUAUGGGUAAAUUUGUUCUCUAAGGUACACUUCCUGUUAAUGUUCCCUCACUGGGUCAUAUUUGUACCUUAUUAAUACUAAUCUAUAAGGGUAAGGGUACAAUGGGCUUACCUUUGAGAUUACUGCCCCAGCAACAAGCCAUUCUAUCCCUACAGCUACCAUUUUUUUCUGACAGUGUACAUCUCAACCACUGGUCUGCAGUGUUUCCAAAACUCACAGGAAAACUACAAUUGAAAAAGACAACUUCAAAAUAAAUGACAGCUCACAAAGUGUUCUUUUUAAGAAGUCUGAGAUAUGAAUGCUCUUGCGUAUAUAUCCUCUGCCUGAACCUGGACUGUUGAGAAACUGAAAUGUUUUGAAAGAACGUUGGCUUAUCACUGUAAUCUGUUAAGAAAGGGUUCAAUUCCCCAACAUCAAGUCGGUUUUAUAUGUAAUUUUGUGGUCACAGUUUUGCUUUUCAGGAAAGCAAACUAUACUUUGCAAGCACAUAAAUAUCUUUGGUUC